UAGCCAGGGUUACAGUCCCCUGGGACGCC
rnacentral:sRNA from 1 species